ACUCAUUUGGUGGUUUAGUGGUAAAGUGUUUGCUCUUUUAAAUAAGAUGCCUAGGUUCAAAUCCUGGUAGAGUA